UGACCCCUUUGCUCAAACAAUCCCUCCUCUCUCUUAUCAAAUGGACUCCAGAAGCUUGGCCCAGUGUUUGGCUGUGGAUCUUUGCAUCUGCUUCCAUCAGUUAUUUGAUGAAGGAUCUCUAUUGACAAUUAGGGUAGGCACCAAUCUAAUUACAGGAGAAGGCUAGAUCAGGCACCCUCUCCAUUAAUUUUUUUUAACAAACAACUGUUUGUUUCAUUCUGUAGGGCAGCCUUAACAACACAAGAUCACUGAAGAGUAAAAUGUGUUUUGGAAAACAUUCUGUGAAACACAACACUAAGAUGACACCAUCUCAUAAAAGUCAGUGAGACUCCAAGAAUUCCUACUGAUCAUCUGGACAAGACAGAGACCCUAAAGAGAUAUGGGUUUUCCUCUUUUGGCUCCAGUGGUCAACUAUGUAAUAUGUGGACCAGUUGUCUUCAUGGUACCUGUCUGGUAUUACCUGUGAGAGUACAAGGGAUGCUUUGUGAUGAACUUUAUCUCUUCUGCAUCCUGUGUCUCAUUUGAAUUAUUCAACAGAGACCACAGGGACAGGAGUGAAAAGGAAUCACAUAGAGCUCUGUGAAGGUCAUCAUAUUCUGCUCUCACCCUCCCAAUACAUCCAUUACAUUUCAUCAGCUCGAACUAUUACUUUGUUCUCACUGUCAACUUUAAAUUGUGAUGCUCAAAAUCUCAUCUAAAUAUCCUUUAAAUGAUGUAAGGAAAAAAUCCAAGGUACAGCACAUGCCGAAAGAAAUUUCUUUCCAGUUGUGAAUCUGUGAAAGCAAACAAACCACUUCCAAAAUGCACUGGUGAGCCAGGAAAGGAAACAUCCCUCCAUCUCAAAUGGAAGAAUGAGGAGGAAAGGAGUAAAUCCAGCCCAAGCUACAAGGUGGUCUCUAGCAGAUGGUAAGGACAGAGCAGCAGCAACUGAAGCGCAGCAUGUGUUCUUGUGUCUUCAACUUCUCACUGCUGUCCAUGAGGAGGUAAAUGACAAAGAGUUGAUUAUUUACAAACUUAUAAAUUUUGACACUGUCAUGACACUGCAAAGGAAAUUAUA
rnacentral:lncRNA from 1 species